rnacentral:rRNA from 1 species
CCUACGGGUGGCAGCAGUGAGGAAUAUUGGUCAAUGGGCGCAAGCCUGAACCAGCCAAGUAGCGUGAAGGAUGACUGCCCUACGGGUUGUAAACUUCUUUUAUAUGGGAAUAAAGUGCAGCAUGUAUACUGCUUUGCAUGUACCUUAUGAAUAAGGAUCGGCUAACUCCGUGCCAGCAGCCGCGGUAAUACGGAGGAUCCGAGCGUUAUCCGGAUUUAUUGGGUUUAAAGGGAGCGUAGACGGGUUGUUAAGUCAGUUGUGAAAGUUUGCGGCUCAACCGUAAAAUUGCAAUUGAUACUGGCAGUCUUGAGUACAGUAGAGGUAGGCGGAAUUCGUGGUGUAGCGGUGAAAUGCUUAGAUAUCACGAAGAACUCCGAUUGCGAAGGCAGCCUACUGGACUGCAACUGACGCUGAUGCUCGAAAGUGUGGGUAUCAAACAGGAUUAGAUACCCUUGUAGUC